GGUUUCUGAUGGCGAGAUGUGUGUCAUUGCAAAUACUGCGAUUGAAACUUCUGGUGAAGCUUUUGGUCUCUUGCCAUCAUUGAAGGCUAAGAAAAGCAAGGUAAAGGAACCCUUGAAAAGUGCGUUGACUGAACUGAAGAAGGUUAAACAUGCUACAGAGAGCACCAGAGCCCAUAGUGCUUGAUUGAUUGA